UUACAUCUGCAAUAAUGCAAUUUAAUAGUAUCUUUGCUAUAGACAUAAGAGAUCACAAGAAAUAUACAAUACGACCGAUGCCUUCAAGACUGAUGAUUGCGAAUCACAAGAGGACGCUCAAUAAGAAAGAUGACUGAAUACGGCGACUUCAUGACCUGCCACAAACUGGAAGAAAGCUACUUUGCUAUCAAGAUGAUAUCCAGCUGAUCAGCCGAAAGACGUCCACUGCUGAACAUAGGCCUCCCCCAAAGAACGCCACAACGACCGGUCUUGUGCUGCUUGCAUCCAGCGGAUUCUUGCAACUAUCACCUGGUCAUCGGUCCACCUGAUCUGCCCACGCUGCGUCUUCCUAUACCGCAUCUACGUCCUGUACACAAUCUACGAUCGACUUAUGGACCUCUGCAUAGGUCUUCUGUGAAGGGGAGUAAGUGCUGUGAUGGCAUUAGAAAAUGGUGCAUUUAAUACUCGUAUUUUCUUAUCGCUCUGUACUGCGUCAGAUUGACAUUAGGUAUACUACUUUGGUUUGUGCUCUCGGUAGUUUAUUUGUUUAUGUAUAAACUUUACAGUUUUGUAUUUGUAAAAACAAAGUUUGUCAGAUUAACGCUAAAAUGAAGUAACUUAAAAUAACGAUUAAUUUGAGAAAACAUCAUAAAAAUUCAAUUACAAAAAGAGUGCGAACGUGUGUGUGUAUUUUUUAUUUUAUAGUGGGAUAUGCUAUAGGGAUAUAUGCAAAAAUACACGCACACACACACACACACACACACACACA